rnacentral:rRNA from 1 species
UACAACUUUCAGCAACGGAUCUCUUGGCUCUCGCAUCGAUGAAGAACGCAGCGAAAUGCGAUAAGUAAUGUGAAUUGCAGAAUUCAGUGAAUCAUCG